CGGGGCCCGCACAAGCGGUGGAGCAUGUGGUUUAAUUCGACGCAACGCGAAGAACCUUACCAGCUCUUGACAUGUCAGGUCGGUUUCCAGAGAUGGAUUCCUCCCAGCAAGUGGGCCUGAACACAGGUGCUGCAUGGCUGUCGUCAGCUCGUGUCGUGAGAUUGGUUGGGUUAAGUCCCGCAACGAGCGCAACCCUCGCCAUUAGUUGCCAUCAUUAAGUUGGGCACUCUAGUGGGACUGCCGGUGAUAAGCCGGAGGAAGGUGGGGAUGACGUCAAGUCAUCAUGGCCCUUACGGGCUGGGCUACACACGUGCUACAAUGGCGGUGACAGUGGGCAGCAACUCAGCAAUGGGGAGCUAAUCUCAAAAAGCCGUCUCAGUUCGGAUUGGGGUCUGCAACUCGACCCCAUGAAGUCGGAAUCGCUAGUAAUCGCGGAUCAGCACGCCGCGGUGAAUACGUUCCCGGGCCUU
rnacentral:rRNA from 1 species